rnacentral:lncRNA from 1 species
UCCUUGGUGUUCUCCAGCUCAUGUGAAAGCCUCCCUAACUCUUCCCUCAUGAGCGAAAUCUCGGCCUGGUGUUUCUCCUCUACCGCCUGAAGACAUUGUGCCAGGACUUGAUUCACGGCGGACUGCAUCUUCUCCCGCAAUCCGUCUAGGCCCUCCUCGACCCUUUGUUCGAACCACUCGAACCUUUGGUCGGCCUCUAUGAACUUGUCCUGCCCAUCGGCAAUGGCCAACUCCACCUUGGCCAGCCUUGUCUCCAACUCCNN